AAAGGAAUUGACGGGGGCCCGCACAAGCGGUGGAGUAUGUGGUUUAAUUCGACGCAACGCGAAGAACCUUACCAGGUCUUGACAUCUCCUGCUAGCUAUGGAAACAUAGUGUUUCAUUCGAAAGAGUGAACGGGAAGACAGGUGGUGCAUGGUUGUCGUCAGCUCGUGUCGUGAGAUGUUGGGUUAAGUCCCGCAACGAGCGCAACCCCUGCCUUUAGUUGCCAUCACAUAAUGGUGGGCACUCUAAAGGGACUGCCGUUGACAAAACGGAGGAAGGUGGGGAUGACGUCAAAUCAUCAUGCCCUUUAUGAUCUGGGCUACACACGUACUACAAUGGCCGGUACAGACGGAAGCGCAACCGCGAGGUGAAGCGAACCCGAGAAAGCCGGUCCCAGUUCGGAUUGCAGGCUGCAACCCGCCUGCAUGAAGUCGGAAUCGCUAGUAAUCGCAGGUCAGCAUACUGCGGUGAAUACGUUCCCGGGCCUUGUACACACCGCCCGU
rnacentral:rRNA from 1 species